AAGAAAGUUAUACACAAUUUUACUGGGUUUGUCGAAACAAUCGGGCUGUGUGCCCUCCUCGCCCUCGCGACAAAUGUUCUGUUCUACAAGAAAGCGAAUUUUAUCGCUAAAUCCAAGGGGCAUAGUUGCUUUUUUAGAUAUUACUUCUCAUAAAUAAUAACGGCAUCAGACUGUGCUUCUUCGGGAUCGGCUGCACCUUUCUUCUCCAAGAGAUUCUGUUUGUAACUUGUAGCCGACAUCCAGAAAUCCAGUAAUUCUCGCUUAUUUUCAAGUUCCAUAAACUAAAAUGAAAAGAAUGAGAAUAUUUCUAACCAAAACUUCUGUCACAAAAAUAACAAUGGAUGGAAGUAUACGAUCUACAAGACAUUCAUCAGGAUCAAAUGGACGAUAAUCGAACAACUGUUCGAUGUCGAGAUUGAGCAAAUAUUUAUGCACGACCAAAGUGAACGAGUGGAUAAAAAUACACGCGAGUCAGAGAUUUGAUUGCGAAUGU